rnacentral:rRNA from 1 species
ACGUAGGGACCAAGCGUUGUUCGGAUUUACUGGGCGUAAAGGGUGCGUAGGCGGCGCUGCAAGUCAAUUGUGAAAUCUCCGGGCUUAACUCGGAACGGCCAAUUGAGACUGCAGUGCUAGAGUGCAGGAAGGGCAACUGGAAUUCUUGGUGUAGCGGUGAAAUGCGUAGAUAUCAAGAGGAACACCUGAGGCGAAGGCGAGUUGCUAGACUGACACUGACGCUGAGGCACGAAAGCCAGGGGAGCGAACGGG